GAUGAACGCUGGCGGCGUGCCUAAUACAUGCAAGUCGAGCGAACAGACGAGGAGCUUGCUCCUCUGACGUUAGCGGCGGACGGGUGAGUAACACGUGGAUAACCUACCUAUAAGACUGGGAUAACUUCGGGAAACCGGAGCUAAUACCGUAUAAUAUAUUGAACCGCAUGGUUCAAUAGUGAAAGACGGUUUUGCUGUCACUUAUAGAUGGAUCCGCGCCGCAUUAGCUAGUUGGUAAGGUAACGGCUUACCAAGGCAACGAUGCGUAGCCGACCUGAGAGGGGGAUCGGCCACACUGGAACUGAGACACGGUCCAGACUCCUACGGGAGGCAGCAGUAGGGAAUCUUCCGCAAUGGGCGAAAGCAUGACGGAGCAACGCCGCGUGAGUGAUGAAGGUCUUCGGAUCGUAAAACUCUGUUAUUAGGGAAGAACAAAUGUGUAAGUAACUAUGCACGUCUUGACGGUACCUAAUCAGAAAGCCACGGCUAACUACGUG
rnacentral:rRNA from 1 species